rnacentral:pre_miRNA from 1 species
AGGUGCAUUACUGGGCAAAUAUUCCUCUGGCAGUUACCCACUACUCAAUUGUAUAUAUAAUAUGACCGAUUAUGGGUUGAAGUCUAUCUGUAGAGUGAGUGAGCUCACUGCCAAAGGAGAUUUGCCCGGCAAUUCAGCU